CGCGUGCUUGUGAUCUGUAAAGAAAAACUGGAUUGACAAGUAAUAGAAUUUCGAAUUUGCAUAGUUUUUGUGCCACGUAAGACCAUGUGGAUAUUUGCUAUUACGAUAAUCUGUAAUUUAAUCCAGUAUAUAGAUAAUAAUCGCCUUACAUCACCGACUGUAUUAUUACCAUGCAAUAUUGAUGUACCUACUAAUUACACACUUAGCAUCUCUGAAGGAUGCUACAAAUGAAAUUUCUUUUUACUAGUUCAUCUGGUUCAUUUGGUUUUGGAUGUUGCAAAAUUAACAAAAGGAAAGGACUUCAGUAUCGAAUGAUGCAGUUGAUAUCAUUUUUGAAGAUAGUUGUCGUUCUAGUGUUGUAGUUUCUGCUAAAUCUAAGAUCUGCCAACGACAACUUAUUUCCGUUUUUGCAGAAAAUGUUG